rnacentral:rRNA from 1 species
UACGUAGGGACCAAGCGUUGUUCGGAUUUACUGGGCGUAAAGGGCGCGUAGGCGGCGUGACAAGUCACUUGUGAAAUCUCCGGGCUUAACUCGGAACGGUCAAGUGAUACUGUCGUGCUAGAGUGCAGAAGGGGCAAUCGGAAUUCUUGGUGUAGCGGUGAAAUGCGUAGAUAUCAAGAGGAACACCAAUGGCGAAGGCAGCUCGCUGGAACGGUACUGACGCUGAGGCGCGAAAGCGUGGGGAGCAAACAGG